AGGGGUGGUGACUUGAGCAAGGUGCAUCAGCUGCCAGGUUUCCAGAAGUUCCCCAGUCAUUGAGCAUUUCUGAGGCUCUUGAUGCAUAUGCCAAGUAGUUAUGGAGAAAGACACAGCAGCUUACCUCUGCAGGCAUCAUUGUGUGAAAGGAAGACCCAGGCUCUCUCACCACCCUUCAACAGAAGCCUUUUGCUAAGGUGAUAGCUACAUGUCCAAGCCUAUUGCGUGGCAUGCAUUUUGCCUUCUGCAGCCCACUAAAGGAAAUUGAGGUAUACGGAAUGCUUAUUUGGUUUACUCAGUAUCAUCCUAAAUGUAUGUACCAAUGCUUAGGAGUUUGCAGUUCACCCGCAAACCUCAGCGAUCCAAGCUCCCCUGGAUGACCAUCACUCACCAAGAAAAGAACAAUAACAGGACCUGUUUUGCUAAUCCAGGACUGUUCUCCAGCACUAACUCUAAAUAAUCCCUUCUGCUAGAGUCCACUUUCUGGAACCUGUUGCCUCCGUUUUCAACGUUUCCCAAACUUGGUCCGUUGUGUGAGCUGGCUGAUAAAAGUUCCAGCCAAACCCAGAGUAAGGAAACCAUCUGGCAAGAACUGCUCAAGAGAAUGCUUCUUGG
rnacentral:lncRNA from 1 species